UUAAAUCGAAUCGGGUACGCCCAUAAGCGGGUUCGAUCCGACGGAUAUUAUGUUAUCUAAUUGGAUUAGAAUUAAUCUCGCUUUCAAAUUGGAAAGUUAGUUAGAGAUAAAUCCUAGUCAUAUUAGGAUAACAAUUAAUAACCGAUUUGGCUUUAUCUCCAACGCCAUUAGGAUUUUGGAAUUCCUUAUAAAUAUGCGGGCGAUCCCACAUAGCGAAACAUAUACGGAAAGAACAGAAAAAUAGAGAGAAACCACAUCCUCCAUUGACCUAUUAUUCUAAGAGGAACUUGAACGGUGGAUUUGCGAUCGUGCUCGUUUGUAGUUCGAUCCACCGCGAGUUUGGAGCGUGAAAAGACAUUCAAGGACGAUCUGAGGACAUGUGAAUCAAUCUAAACGAUCCGGGCUCAUCGCGUUCUAGCGCGAAUCGCUUCCGCAAAAAGGUACGAACGAAUACUUCCGCUGCGUU
rnacentral:lncRNA from 1 species